AGGACGAACGCUGGCGGCGUGCUUAACACAUGCAAGUCGAGCGGAAAGGCCCUUCGGGGUACUCGAGCGGCGAACGGGUGAGUAACACGUGAGUAAUCUGCCCUUAGCUCUGGGAUAGCUCCGGGAAACCGGGAUUAAUACCAGAUACGACCACUUUAGACAUCUGCCGUGGUGGAAAGAAUUUCGGCUAAGGAUGAGCUCGCGGCCUAUCAGCUUGUUGGUGGGGUAACGGCCUACCAAGGCGACGACGGGUAGCCGGCCUGAGAGGGCGACCGGCCACGACUGGGACUGAGACACGGCCCAGACUCCUACGGGAGGCAGCAGUGGGGAAUAUUGCGCAAUGGGCGAAAGCCUGACGCAGCGACGCCGCGUGGGGGAUGAAGGCCUUCGGGUUGUAAACCCCUUUCAGCAGGGACGAAGCGAAAGUGACGGUACCUGCAGAAGAAGCGCCGGCUAACUACGUGCCAGCAGCCGC
rnacentral:rRNA from 1 species